rnacentral:rRNA from 1 species
CACGUAGGGUGCGAGCGUUUGUCCGGAAUUAUUGGGCGUAAAGAGCUCGUAGGCGGUGUGUCGCGUCGGCCGUGAAAACCUGCAGCUUAACUGUGGGCUUGCGGUCGAUACGGGCAUCACUGGAGUUCGGCAGGGGAGACUGGAAUUCCUGGUGUAGCGGUGAAAUGCGCAGAUAUCAGGAGGAACACCGGUGGCGAAGGCGGGUCUCUGGGCCAUUACUGACACUGGAGAAGCGAAAGCAUGGGGAGCGAACAGG